UAGGGAAGUCUUCGGCAAUGGGGGCGAACCCUGACCGAGCAACGCCGCGUGAGUGAAGAAGGUUUUCGGANCGUAAAGCUCUGUUGUAAGAGAAGAACGUGUGUGAGAGUGGAAAGUUCACACAGUGACGGUAACUUACCAGAAAGGGACGGCUAACUACGUGCCUG
rnacentral:rRNA from 1 species